UGCGAAGUUUUUCGUUUUGGGACCAUUCUAUAGACCCAUUUCCCAGCCACGCCAUGAGAAGUUGCACGCACAGUUUGUCAUCAGAAACCUCUUUAUUUACCUAGCGGUGGAUAGGAUCACAUGCAACUUCAAAUGCAGCUUGUGCAAUAACAAACGCGUAAUCAGAUGGUUAUCGUCUACGACAUAGCAGAUCGCAGCUAGCGAGACAGAGAGGCAAGGCUGCGGGACGAGUGGCUCAGGAGGCUGAUGCUUCGGGACCAGCAGCUGGAGCGUUCCGAAGAGAAACACAUCAGGAGGGCCAAGAUGUCCCAACAGACCUUCAAGAUACCCAGUCAAUGAUAUUCGAAUCUGCAUUCUAGAAUCGACAUCAUUC
rnacentral:lncRNA from 8 species